UACGGAGGGUCCAAGCGUUAUCCGGAAUCACUGGGUUUAAAGGGUGCGUAGGUGGGUUGGUAAGUCAGUGGUGAAAUCUCCGUGCUUAACAUGGAAACUGCCAUUGAUACUACUGGUCUUGAAUUUUCUGGAGGUAAGCGGAAUAUGUCAUGUAGCGGUGAAAUGCUUAGAUAUGACAUAGAACACCAAUUGCGAAGGCAGCUUACUACAGGGACAUUGACACUGAGGCACGAAAGCGUGGGGAUCAAACAGG
rnacentral:rRNA from 1 species